rnacentral:tRNA from 1 species
GAGGUACUAGUUUAUUUAAGAAUGUUUGAUUUGCACUCAAAAGGAUGAUGGUAUUUUCAGUGCUUCG